rnacentral:rRNA from 1 species
UCUGCCCUAAAGUUCGGAACAACCUGCCGAAAGGUGAGCUAAUACCGAAUGUGAUCGUUUGCAGGCAUCUGUGAAUGAUCAAAGCUGGGGAUCGUAAGACCUGGCGCUUUAGGAUGGGCCCGCGGCCUAUCAGCUAGUUGGUGAGGUAACGGCUCACCGAGGCUAAGACGGGUAGCCGGUCUGAGAGGAUGAUCAGCCACACUGGGACUGAGACACGGCCCAG